CGGACAUCUUGAAUUUAGUCAAAAAACAUCAAGUACAAGGGUAGGCUUUCUCUCUUCCCAAACCACACUCAUCUUUUCCUUUCAUUACCCAAAAUGCACAAAGAAACCAUCAAUCUUUCACUCUCUCUCCUUCUUCGUCAUCUACUCUAUACCCAAAAUCAAAACCCUAUUCCACCAUAUCUGACCAUCCGUUUACACUAUAAGGAUUCUUCCUAUUUUUAUCCUUUCCAAUCCGCUACUCAACAAAUAAGUGAGAAUCAGUUUCCAAUUAGUGAUACAACAAAAUUCGAUUUCAAAUCCAUGUUAAAGACACAAAAAUAGUCCAAAAUUAUAAAGUGAGUUGUCUCUUUCAACUUUUUGAAUUUCAAAUACAUCCCUUUGAUUUGGCAGUUGGUUUCCUUGAAUUUUUGGUUUCAAAUCCGGACUUUCAAGUCCAAAUUUGCAUAUAAAUACCCACGUUUUUACCUAUUUUGAAGAGGGGGAGAAUUUUUUUGGAAGGAGAGAACAAGUUCAAAAAUAUAGAGUGAACACUUCGAAUCGGCGUAUUAAGGUCACAAAAUUAUUAUUUCUCUUAGUUGUUUUCGGCAUAAGGUCGAUUCCCCAAAGUUUGAGUUAUUCAUCUGAAUCUUGACGCUGAAGCCCCAAGCUUGCUGCCCAACACAAGCAUCCUUUCAAUUUGGAAUGAACAAAAGUUUGCAAGAAACUUGUUAGUUUUGGCCAUGGUAUGGUUCGCUUUCGAAUCGAUAGACUGUUUUCCCCUCUUAUUUGCUUGACAUUCUUGUGAGAAGAGUAUUGUUUGAUGAAACAAUGGCUUGAAAAUGUCACAACUUGGUAUAACACGAAUAGGCCACUAAUUAAUUUAAUCUGUAUUUUUAAUAUCCCCCUACUAUCUCAUCUCCCUCUAUCAAAAGUAUGAACCUGUGCGUGUGGCUGUUGUAUGCAUUUUCUUUUUAGCUAAAUAUUCUUUCAAAAUAAUAACUAAAGAAGACAUCGAGAUUUGUUUUACAAAAUACGUUGAAAGCAUUGAUUUGGAAUGUUCAAAGAAUGAAAUUGUACCUUUGAAUCUUUAUCUUGUCUGCCUUUGUAGUAUGUUGAAGAGUUUGUUUACAUCUUGUGUGGAAUUAUUGUAUGAACUAUCGUAUGUAUUAUACUUCUAAAAAAUGGUUGGCUAGCCCUGUGUGUGAUUCCUUAAGAAGAAUUUAAAUGUAUGCAUUAACAUAUUGGGGCUGAUAAGAUUAUUCUACGUACUAAUAUAGUUGAAAGUAUCAAAGUAUCAUUCAAUUAGAAUCUCGUCCAAUUUGUAAUUUCACCGUUGAAAGGUCACAUUGUUAGUUUGCUUAGAAAGAGUGAUUAGCUAGUUUAUGGCUGAUCCAAAUUAGCAUUUUUUUUAGAAAUAGGUUAGCCUUUAUCUGGUUGCACUAUCGUUUUUGACUUAGCCAAAAAGGAUGACUUUCUUAAAGUAUUAUAUCCAUGGAAUUUAAAACACAUUCUUUGCUUAAUGAAAUGCUCAUUCAACAUAUUUUCUCCCUUAAUUUGUAUUUUCCCCUGUACUCCUUAUUUGAUCAAAUACUAAUCCUCAUCAUUUUUCUUUGUUUCAUGUAAUCUGGGGGGUCGGAGUUUCGAUUGAAGAUCUAUUUUUUGACCCAAAGAUCAGGUUGGGUCAAUGGCUAUAGGAUCACAGAACUCAGGUCUAAAUCACUAGGAGUUGAGUCCUUCAAUAGGAAUUUAUCGUAUCGAUCUCUCCGCCUUCUUCUCUACUUUAUUUUUCGUAUUUAUUUCACUAACGUUGUAUUUCUUUGAAUAUCUCGAUUGAGUAUUUUUACUUUGUUUAAUUUUGUUUAGCUCAAAAGAUCUCUUGGUUUGCUUCGGUUAAUCUUUCACUCAUCCAACGUUUGUAG